AGCAGAUCAGUUACAACAUAAAACAUGUUUUCUGUGGCUCUCCUGCUGCUUUUGGCUGCUGGAUCCUGUGUUCAAUGUGAGCAGCUGACACAACCAGCUUAUGUGACUAAGCAGCCAGGUCAGCGUCUGACCAUCACCUGUCAGGUCUCUUAUUCUGUGGGCAGCUACUACACCGCUUGGAUCAGACAGCCUGCAGGGAAAGGACUGGAGUGGAUUGGUAGCAAAUUUACUGGAGCUUCAUACUACAAAGAUUCACUGAAGAGCAAGUUUAGUAUAGACUUAGACUCUUCCAGCAAUAGAGUGACUCUAAAUGGACAGAAUAUGCAGCCUGAAGACACUGCUGUGUAUUACUGUGCCAGAGACCCACAGUCUGACAAAGCAUCAGCAGAGCUGAACAAAAACCCCUCAGUAGCCGAGCAGCUGUAGCAUGAAGGCACCAGAGGAGGAGCUCUAAGACCAGCAAUGUAUUCAAAGCUUUUCAGUGGGAAGGAAACAGCUCUUAGAUAAACUCUUCAGUUUGUGUGGAAAUUCUACAAAACUGAUUUUGAAAUAUUUGAUAAAAAA